UACUUUCUCUUGAAUCCUGAA
rnacentral:piRNA from 1 species